GAUGAACGCUGGCGGCGUGCUUAACACAUGCAAGUCGAACGAUGAAGCCCAGCUUGCUGGGUGGAUUAGUGGCGAACGGGUGAGUAACACGUGAGUAACCUGCCCUUAACUCUGGGAUAAGCCUGGAAAACUGGGUCUAAUACCGGAUAGGGGCGUCCACCGCAUGGGGGGUGUUGGAAAGAUUUAUCGGUUUUGGAUGGACUCGCGGCCUAUCAGCUUGUUGGUGAGGUAAUGGCUCACCAAGGCGACGACGGGUAGCCGGCCUGAGAGGGUGACCGGCCACACUGGGACUGAGACACGGCCCAGACUCCUACGGGAGGCAGCAGUGGGGAAUAUUGCACAAUGGGCGAAAGCCUGAUGCAGCGACGCCGCGUGAGGGAUGACGGCCUUCGGGUUGUAAACCUCUUUCAGUAGGGAAGAAGCGAAAGUGACGGUACCUGCAGAAGAAGCACCGGCUAACUACGUG
rnacentral:rRNA from 1 species